rnacentral:rRNA from 1 species
UACGGGGGGAGCAAGCGUUGUUCGGAUUUACUGGGCGUAAAGGGUGCGUAGGCGGCCACCGCAAGUCAGUUGUGAAAUCUCUGGGCUUAACCCAGAAAGGUCAACUGAUACUGCGGGGCUAGAGUGCAGAAGGGGCAACUGGAAUUCUCGGUGUAGCGGUGAAAUGCGUAGAUAUCGAGAGGAACACCUGCGGCGAAGGCGGGUUGCUGGGCUGACACUGACGCUGAGGCGCGAAAGCUAGGGGAGCGAACGGG